CACUUAGUAUGCUGCAUUUACCUAAUGCCUGUACCCUUAUUGUACCUAGGAAGCAAUUAACUUGCUUUUGAUUUUACAGGCUCAUAGGUGGAAGGGACUUGCCUUGUCACAGAUGAGACUUUAGACUGUGGACUUUUGAGUUAAUGUUGAAAUGAGUUAAGACUUUAGGGGACUGUUGUGAAGGCAUGAUUGUGUUUUGAAAUGUGAGGACAUGAGAUUUGGGAGGAGUCAGGGGCAGAAUGAUGUGGUUUGGUUGUGUCUCCACCCAAAUCUCAUUUUGAAUUUCCACAUGUUGUGGGCGGGACCCAGUGGGAGGUAAUUGAAUCAUGGGGGCAGGUCUUUCCCAUGCUGUUCUUGUGACAGCGAUCUCUCAUGAGAUCUAACAGGGAGUUUCCCUGCACAAGCUCUCUCUUUGCCUGCUGCCAUCUGUGUAAGAUGAGACUUGCUCCUCCUUGCCACCUACCAUGAUUGUGAGGCUUCUUCAGCCAUGUGGAACAACUCAUGAUGUUAAUUUUGAUACGCACACUUUCUCCGUCAUGUGCCCACUCCACAGUCACGCCUAUGAACAGAGGUGGUGAGUGUUGAUAGUAUUUGAAGAAUCCAGGAAUAGCUGAGUUCUCUCUGCUCCUCAAGCUGCCUCCCUCCAUGGGGUUGUCAAGGGAACAGAAAAAAUGAAAAUCCACUUACCA
rnacentral:lncRNA from 13 species